UUGUGCAUGCAUAGAGAACUCCG
rnacentral:piRNA from 1 species